AACUUUCCUAGGUGAAGAUGCCUCAAUCUUGUUCUACACUAGUGGACGGGGUUAAGUGUCAUGAUGGAGAGGACAGAAGGGUUAGGGGGACCACUGAUGAAGAUACUCUAGAUGACAGUAGAGACAACGUUGAAGGGAGUCUGCCUGAGCAUCCCAGCGCCUUUGAAGAAAAUACUGAAGAUGAAUUUAUCUAAAUAUGUUGCUGUAGCAGGGGAGCAGACUUCUGAGGUUGAGAUUUGGGAUCUUAAUACUGCAGAAAGGUUUGCACGGCUUCCUCAAAGCUGCUUUGGUGGUUCCCCGGGUAUUUCUUCCAAGGAGAGA